rnacentral:rRNA from 1 species
AGUGAACGCUGGCGGUAGGCCUAACACAUGCAAGUCGAACGGCAGCACAGUAGGUCUUUCUCUUUGGGGGGCGCGUGGCGGGGAGGUGAGAGGUACAUCGCGAUCUGUCCAGUUUUGGGGGAGAACAUGGGGGAAAUUAUACUACUACACCGUACGACCUCCGGGGGAAAGAGGGGGGGAGCAUGACCUCUCGCGCUGGGGUGAGCGGAGGUCGGAUUAGCUAUUUUGCGGGGUAAUGGCCCCCCCAGGCGACGAGCCGUAGCUGGUCUGAGAGGAUGAUCAGCCACACUGGAACUGAGACACGGUCCAGACUCCUACGGGAGGCAGCAGUGGGGAAUAUUGGACAAUGGGCGCAAGCCUGAUCCAGCCAUACCGCGUGGGUGAAGAAGGCCUUCGGGUUGUAAAGCCCUUUUGUUGGGAAAGAAAAGCUUCAGGCUAAUACCCUGGGAGGAUGACGGUACCCAAAGAAUAAGCACCGGCUAACUUCGUG